GACGAACCGUGCGAACGUUGUUCGGAAUCACUGGGCUUAAAGGGCGCGUAGGCGGCCGGGUUGGUCGUGGGUGAAAUCCCCCAGCUUAACUGGGGAACUGCCUACGAUACUGCCUGGCUCGAGGGAGGAAGGGGCGGUCGGAACUGUCGGUGGAGCGGUGAAAUGCGUUGAUAUCGACAGGAACACCGGUGGCGAAGGCGGGUCUCUGGGCCGAUACUGACGCUGAGGAGCGAAAGCGUGGGGAGCGAACAGG
rnacentral:rRNA from 1 species